ensembl:snRNA U6 U6 spliceosomal RNA
UUGCUUCAGCAGCACAUAUACUAAAAUUGGAACAAUACAGAGAAGACUAGCUUGGCGCCUGUGCAAGAAUGACAUGCAAAUUCAUGAAGCAUCCCAUGUUGUU